rnacentral:rRNA from 1 species
CAGUAGCCGCGGUAAUACGUAGGGUGCGAGCGUUAAUCGGAAUUACUGGGCGUAAAGCGUGCGCAGGCGGUUUUGUAAGACAGGCGUGAAAUCCCCGGGCUCAACCUGGGAAUGGCGCUUGUGACUGCAAAGCUAGAGUGCGGCAGAGGGGGAUGGAAUUCCGCGUGUAGCAGAGAAAUGCGUAGAUAUGCGGAGGAACACCGAUGGCGAAGGCAAUCCCCUGGGCCUGCACUGACGCUCAUGCACGAAAGCGUAGGGAGCAAACAGGAUUAGAUACCCCCGUAGUCCCUGUCUCUUAUAC